ACUGAGGCAGGAGAACCACUUGAACCCAGGAGACAGAGGUUGUAGAGAGCCGAGAUCUCGCCACUGCACUCCAGCCUGAGUGACAGAGUGAGACUCCAUCUCAAAAAAAAAAAAAAAAAAAGAGAGAAGCAGUCACGCUGUGGAAGGUCUUUCUUUGCCUUUUGCUAUAUGCCCCCCCAAAAAAUUUUAUAUUUUACCAAGAUAAUUCCUGUGUCAUCAUUAUUAGGUUUUUGAUUGCUUAGGAAUACUGGGACUUAGAGGCAUUGAGGAAUUAAGGCUUUUACAUCACGUAAUUUUCUCUAUUGCUAAUAAAGUCCUUGUGCUGUUGAGUUACAGAGCUUUGGCUGGGUCCGAAAAAGGCACUGCCUUCUGCUAAAUCUUGAACACUGACACCAAUCAAAGCCUCAUCUUCAGACUGAGAGAAGAUGGCAAUCAAAAUGAACUGCUUUCAUAAGACAUGAGGCCAGAAGUUAAAGUGUUUGAUCUCUCUUGGCCCAGGGACUAUUGGGGAAGAGGUGGGCAUGUGAGAUUGUAGGGCUGAUUUUGAGGGAUAAGAUUAGUUCAGAUUUUCUCUAGAAAGUAAACAAUAUCAAAAGCACACUUUUCCAAGGCCAGUGUCUGGGCCCCUGUGUCAGAAUCACAGGAUUCUCCUACAGCACUGACCUGCUCUUUCAUAGAGAAUUGUGAAAGGUUAUAAAAGGCUUAUGAAAAUCUUACCUGUGGUCAAAUUUAUUAAACUUGGAUAGAAUUAUUUAUAAAGAUUUAUUGAAAUUAGCUUUAACAUAAAUAAUACAUCAUACCAAGGUAAAAUUUGUUUUUAUCUUUUGAAUAAAAUUUUCAUAUAAUAUUAAUAAGAGAUAAUAAAAGUUUUUUGUUUAUCUUUUGAGUAAACUGCAGGAAAAAAAGAGGAGAGAGAGAGAGACUUUUUUUUUUUUGGCCUCAUGCUGUCUUUAUUAGGCCUUAUUAUUUGGUAAUUAGUAUUUUGGCUAAAUGAAUACCUAUUUUAUAGUGACCUGUGAUAUUAUUUUGUGAUACGAAAUGUUUUAAACCUUUGUUAUUUGACCAACUUUCCAAAAUCAAAAUUUCAAGUUCUAAAUUCAGUCUUUUGACUUGAAACUAACUUUUUAGAUAGUAGGGUUCCCUGAAGCCCAAGAGGGACAUAUUAUUUUCAUUUGAUAUGUUAAAAUUUUACAGGAAGCUUUGUCAAAUAUGAAAUGGAGUUUGGCUUUCUUUGGGUUAUAUUUAUAUAAAUGUGUUCCAAAAUUGUAUGAGAUUCCUAAAAUCCUGAUUUAUCUUAGUAUAUUAUCAGGAAUAAUUAUGAUUAUUAUGUUAAAUUGUCACAGAAAUAACCAAAUUUCCUUGUCAAUUUUGUCUUUAACUAUGGGUGUCUUAAGACUUUUGUCAUCUACAAUUAUUGUUUCAUUUUGAUUCUUCUCAAAAAGCAGCUUACAAUCAGCUAUAGUCCAAAAUUUGCUUUUGCAAAUUGCUGAUUAUUUUUGUUUUUGUUUUUAGAGUCAACGAGGCUUUUUUUUUCCUUUUGAGCUAAGUAUAGCCUUCGACUAUUGUGUGGAGUAUAUCUUGUGAUCAAAAUUUGAAGCAUAUUUCUGUUUCUACCUGAUUUCUGCAAAAUUUGGAAACUGUGCAUAUUCCUAAUUUAUAGCAAUAGUUAUUUGCAUAAGUUUAAUAAAAUUCUGUUUUCUUUUAUAACUGGACACAAUUGGAGGCACUGGUUAUUUUACCAAGGCUUUGACUGGAAUAAUGUAUUUUCAGAUAUGAGCAGAAUGCUUUGAGGAAUUGAUGUUGACUUACAGAGCCUAUGAAAGUCCCUUAAAAAUACUGCCCUUGUACCUGGUCUACACAGUUCCUUUGCAGGGUUCCUGGCCUGUGGUAAGUAAAGAAUGUCACUUUCUGACAGGCCCAGAAACCACAAGUUAUUCUGGGACCUCAAGAAGAGAGGAAUUCACCCAAUUCAUACAAGUAUCUUCAGGCACAGAUAAAUCCUUGGCCGGGCUUGAGAGGUCUUUAAUUUCAAAUCUGAGAUUCCUUAUGAAAAGUUCCAGCAAAGCCCAAUUUAAAAGAACCUAUGAGAACAAUAAUUCUUGCUGUAUUUUAUGCAAAUAAUCAGGCCACCUAGAAUAAGACUAACAAUUUUGCAAAUAAAUUGGGUCUACUAUGAUUUGUCUUUGGUAGAAAUGGGGGUUGGGAAAAAGAAAAAUUGUGUUUCAAAAAAAAAAACACUAGAGUACACCUGUUAUUAAAUUAACCUUUGAUUCUUGAUGGCACUCUGGUCACCCAUCAUAUGGAGCUGCAGCUGUGCUGCUUUCAGUUAUUAAAGCUACAAGUUACCCAUGGAAUUUACAGAUGGAUUAAGCUCCUGGGGAGCUGGCUCACUGGAUGCAUAAGGAAAUGUGAACUAACGAGGAAAAAAAAUUAAAUUCCUUAGUUAUUGUUAUCUAUAAUAGUUCCAAAGAAAGUAAGAGAGUGCGGAGUUCGGGCUUCAAACUAAACCAAGCUCAGAUGUGAGACUGUUUGGAUUCAGACCACUAGCCUCAAAGCUACCCACAAAAGGGAAAAUUAUGCCCGGGCACCAAAAAGCACCUCUGAGACCCGCAGUUUCCAAAAAGGUAGUCAAUGUUGGAGAAAGGCAAAAUCAAGUAAUUAUUGAAACCGGAGGGUAUAAUGUAAAGGGAUAAGUUCUGUUUUGUAGAUUGGUACCAUCAGCUUCCUCAGAAACCUUUACUAAAAUGGGUAGUGAGAAUAACUAACUGAAGAGCAAUGUCUUUGGUUUUAAAUGCUGCAAAGUAGAAGAACCUGUUUUGGUUGACUCAGAACCCACCGCUCGCUAGUGAACAAUCACAGAUAAAUAUAUAUAUUACAGGCACACAGGAGGUUAUUCCCAAGACAAUAGCCAGCCUGGUUGACUAGAUAAAAGCCACUAAUAUCUGUUUACUUACUGAAUACUUAAAGCCAGUAAGAUCUGUUUACCCUGAGAAGGGAAACUGCUCAACUCCACUUAUCAAUGUCAAGUGGAGCACCUCAGAUGAAGCAGAUGAUAUGUUUCCUAUGCAAACCAGUGGGGGCUGGCUUUAUAAUGGUAAGGGUAUUAACUUUACCCUUUGGAAAUAUAUUAACUACUUUCUCUGAGUUUACUUCCAAUAGGCUCCAGUUCCCUACGGAUGUGCCUCCUCACUCUUUGAAACUGAAACCAGAGAACCAAGUCAUGCGGAGGACCAGCUGCAACCACAAUGGAUCGGCCCUUCUGAGGAAAUCUACUCUCAGGCAAGAAACUAAAACUCACCGGAUCAUUUCAUCUGAACAACAAUAUUCCAGACCACUCAUCAAUCAUGAUUGCUUCCUUACCUCCAUGAAUUCCUGCUUUCCCACCUCCCUGCUUCCCUGCUAUAUACACCUCCCGAUUUUAGUCGGUCAAGGAGAUGGCUUUGAGACCUUAUCUCCCAUUCUCCUUGGCUGCAGCACCUGAUUAAAGCCCGCUUCCCUGUCAGUACUCAUUGCCUCAGUGAUUGGGAUUCCGUCCGUGCAGCAAGCAACAGGACCUAGACUGAACCCCUGGCAUUUUGGUAACAUCGAGACAGAGCCUCUAUUAAAUGGAGCUCCUGAGUAACUAGGAUGGACACAGUGCCCCUGAUGAACCACAAUGAACAUGAAGCAUGAGUUACAAAUAAGCAGCAUUGUUUCAAGUCACCAAGAUGUUCAUGUAGCUUAUUAUUGUAGCAUAAGCUAAUCUAUGUUUACUGAUACAACAUCUCAAUUUGUUUCUUUCUCUGAAGCGCAAGUUCUACUUCUCCUGCUGCCGUCAACAUUUCUAUAUGAUUUUACUUAUAGAAGUACAAGCUCAACAUAUCUAUUUCUAUAUUCAUUAUUUUUCCUCCCUAACCCAGAAGCAAAAGUCUCUUCCUGAUUUUUUUUAUUUUGGUCAAUGGUACGAACACUCUUCUAAAAACCUAAACUUCAUUCAAUCACUUACAGUCAUGUGCUGCAUAAUGAUGUUUUGGUCAUGACAGACCACAAAUACGAUGGUGGUCCCAUAAAAUUAUAAUGGAGCAUAUGCAGAAGCCUGAUAUGUGGCAUUUGAUACUGGCAUUGCAGAUUAAGUAGGGGAAAUUAUUGAUAUUCAGCAAUGCUGCUGGGAAAUUUGUUUUUCAUAUAUAUAUAUAUACAUAUAUAUAUACACACAUAUACAUAUAUAUAUAUACACACACACACACACAUAUGAUCUAGGUUUCUGUAAGUACACUCUGUGAUGUGUGCAGUACUGCAAAAUCGCCUAAUGAUGCAUUUCUCAGAAUGUAUCUCCAUUGUUAAGUGAUGCAUGACUAUUUUACAUUUUGUCCCCACUUUAUUUGCAACUCUGCCUUAUGGUUCCCACAGGUGCCUCCUUGAUUCUUGCUUUGGUCCCUCAAUUCUUGCACUAUUAUACGUCUUGAGUAAUUUUGCUGCUUUUAUUCUCUUCCCUUUUAUGAUCAAUUAUCCUUCCUUUGUCAUUAGCUAUUCAUGAAUGUGAUAAAAGUAAAUAUCUAGAUUAUAUUAUGCCUUUGCUCAAAACUCCGAUGUGUCCCCAUCAUCUACUGAAUAAACUCUCAAUCCUUGAUCUGGCA